CAGCAUUAAUUGUUUAUAAUAAUGAAGAAUUUUCUGUGGAUGACUGGGAAGGGAUUCUUCGAAUCGGUACAAGCAUUAAAGAACUUGAUCCAUCAAAAGUUGGAAGAUUUGGAUUGGGAUUUAAGUCCGUUUUUCAUAUCACUGAUUACCCCAUGAUUAUAAGUGGACAACAAAUGAUGAUUUUGGAUCCAUACCUAGAUGAGGAUAAGUGUUGUAUACCACUUUGAUUGUCUAAGCUACGGUUAUAUCGUGGAUUUUGUUUGCAAGAAUGCUUCGAAGCUUUAGACCCUGCAUUCAAUUUUGUAGAGAAUGUGACAAAUAAUGGAUAUUUCAAAGGAACUAUGUUUAGAUUCCCAUUGCGCCAGACAUCAACUAAGCUUUCAGAUUCUGUAUACAAUCAGGAAAAGAUCAAUCAUCUUUUAUGGAUGUUCAAAGAAGAGGCUUCCCUAACAUUGCUUUUUCUUAAUUCUAUUGAAGAAAUAUUCUUAUAUGAAAGUUUAGGGUCUCUAUUUGAGCAAAAUCCAGACUAUAUGGUAACCAUUAGUGGGUGUUCGAAUGAUAAUACCAGAAAAGAUAGAAGAGUAAAUAAACCCAAAUGCAUUCCUGACAAUUCUCUCACUACAAUGUACUUAUUGAAACUGGAAACAACUCGUAAAAGACAACCGAUAAAACAGAUAUUAUGGUUAGUUCUUAAUCGUCUCGUAGGGAUAUCGGAGGGAUCCAAAAACCUAUUAAGACUAGCUAAAAAGCUAGCAUACUUGCCUUGUGUAGGAAUUGCAGUACCUGUGUCACCGAACACGUAUACUGGACAUAUUUUUUUGUUUCCUGCCCUUGCCAGUACCAAACAUCAGUAUGACUAAACUACCUGUGCAUGUAAACGGGACAUUCGCACUAAGUCAGAACCGCCAAAAUUUAAAAUGGGCCGAUAAAUUCACUGUUAGUUUCAAGGAAGAUUCAGUACAGUGGAAUGAAUUGCUGAUAUCUGAAGUUCUGCCAAAGGUGUACAAUGACGUUAUUUUGACAAUUAUUAAAAGAUUGAACGAUAAAAUGCUGAUAUUUAGAUGUAUUCCUGAUCCAGAGAAAGUAGACUAUAGAUUCAAGGAAUGUGUUAGCAAGCUGUUCACAAAUAUAAUGGAUGUACCAUUCUUAUAUACUGAAAGCAGUGGGGGAAAAUGGAUUCGUUGGCAAGAUGCAGUUUUUCCAAUCUUCACAGAAAAUACAGAAAUGAACAUCACAGAAACACUUAUGUACACCAUGAGACAGUACAAUUGUUGCUUGGUAGAAACACAAGGAUUUCAACGAAUGUAUGAUAUUCUGUGCAAGGCAUAUGAUAAUCCACCACAAGACGCCUCACCACAGUUCAUCAGUGAAAGGCAAACUUUAUAAAAUAUUUAUUGUGUAUA